rnacentral:ncRNA from 1 species
CAUCGUGAGGUGGAAUCUGAAGGAAGUCGGAGGCAAAGUCUUGGUCUGAGGAACACAAACUACAUAUUAGGCUUACUAAGGUCGGAUGAGUCUGCUAAACAAGAUGAAGUCCAACACUACCCGAAACCUUAGGAGUAAAUGUAGCAGAUAUAUGAGACGAAGGUUGUU